AGAGUUUGAUCAUGGCUCAGAUUGAACGCUGGCGGCAGGCCUAACACAUGCAAGUCGAACGGUAACAGGAAGAAGCUUGCUUCUUUGCUGACGAGUGGCGGACGGGUGAGUAAUGUCUGGGAAACUGCCUGAUGGAGGGGGAUAACUACUGGAAACGGUAGCUAAUACCGCAUAACGUCGCAAGACCAAAGAGGGGGACCUUCGGGCCUCUUGCCAUCGGAUGUGCCCAGAUGGGAUUAGCUAGUAGGUGGGGUAACGGCUCACCUAGGCGACGAUCCCUAGCUGGUCUGAGAGGAUGACCAGCCACACUGGAACUGAGACACGGUCCAGACUCCUACGGGAGGCAGCAGUGGGGAAUAUUGCACAAUGGGCGCAAGCCUGAUGCAGCCAUGCCGCGUGUAUGAAGAAGGCCUUCGGGUUGUAAAGUACUUUCAGCGGGGAGGAAGGGAGUAAAGUUAAUACCUUUGCUCAUUGACGUUACCCGCAGAAGAAGCACCGGCUAACUCCGUGCCAGCAGCCGCGGUAAUACGGAGGGUGCAAGCGUUAAUCGGAAUUACUGGGCGUAAAGCGCACGCAGGCGGUUUGUUAAGUCAGAUGUGAAAUCCCCGGGCUCAACCUGGGAACUGCAUCUGAUACUGGCAAGCUUGAGUCUCGUAGAGGGGGGUAGAAUUCCAGGUGUAGCGGUGAAAUGCGUAGAGAUCUGGAGGAAUACCGGUGGCGAAGGCGGCCCCCUGGACGAAGACUGACGCUCAGGUGCGAAAGCGUGGGGAGCAAACAGGAUUAGAUACCCUGGUAGUCCACGCCGUAAACGAUGUCGACUUGGAGGUUGUGCCCUUGAGGCGUGGCUUCCGGAGCUAACGCGUUAAGUCGACCGCCUGGGGAGUACGGCCGCAAGGUUAAAACUCAAAUGAAUUGACGGGGGCCCGCACAAGCGGUGGAGCAUGUGGUUUAAUUCGAUGCAACGCGAAGAACCUUACCUGGUCUUGACAUCCACGGAAGUUUUCAGAGAUGAGAAUGUGCCUUCGGGAACCGUGAGACAGGUGCUGCAUGGCUGUCGUCAGCUCGUGUUGUGAAAUGUUGGGUUAAGUCCCGCAACGAGCGCAACCCUUAUCCUUUGUUGCCAGCGGUCCGGCCGGGAACUCAAAGGAGACUGCCAGUGAUAAACUGGAGGAAGGUGGGGAUGACGUCAAGUCAUCAUGCCCCUUACGACCAGGGCUACACACGUGCUACAAUGGCGCAUACAAAGAGAAGCGACCUCGCGAGAGCAAGCGGACCUCAUAAAGUGCGUCGUAGUCCGGAUUGGAGUCUGCAACUCGACUCCAUGAAGUCGGAAUCGCUAGUAAUCGUGGAUCAGAAUGCCACGGUGAAUACGUUCCCGGGCCUUGUACACACCGCCCGUCACACCAUGGGAGUGGGUUGCAAAAGAAGUAGGUAGCUUAACCUUCGGGAGGGCGCUUACCACUUUGUGAUUCAUGACUGGGGUGAAGUCGGAACAAGGUA
rnacentral:rRNA from 1 species